rnacentral:ncRNA from 1 species
CAGGUGGAUGCCGAAAAACCUUUAACGAGUAGGCG